CGCUCGCUCGCUCUCGCUCUCGCUCUCGCUCUCGCUCUCUGCUUCUCCCUCUCUCUCUGCUUCUCCCUCUCCCUCUCCCUCUCUCUCUCUCUCUGUCUCUGACGCCUCUCGCGCGCUCUCUCUUUGUGUCUGUCUCUCUGUCCCCCUGCUCUCUCUCCCUCUCUCUCUCUGCUCUCUCUUUCCCACUGCUAUCUCUGCUUCUCCCUCUCUCUCUCUCUCUCUCUCCCCACCCCCGUCUGGGGCAGCCACUUUCUCUUUUAGAUAAUAAAAUCUCUUGCGUGGGCCCGUGUCUCCUGAGUCAUUCUGGGUAAGGAGGGUCGCGGCGAGAUACCCUUACAUUGGUGCCGUGACUUCGGAUGAGGUUCUCCCAUUGACUUUGCCCUUCCUCCGGGAACCUGAGCUGCUUUGGGAACCCUCACUGCCCGAUCCUCCUCCACGGGCUCACUGUCCAUUUUCCCGGUCGCUCGGCUUCUCGCCCAACACCGGCCUUCGAUUUGGAUUGCCAACCCCUCUCCAAAGACGAUGAUCCUUACUGAACCUGGAAAAUGCCAUCGCCACUGCAGACCAAGGGCUCAUCUGAGGACUGCCCCCCAUCAAUACAAAAAUGAACUUAAUCUCCCCUAAUCAGCAGGAAGCAGUUACUGAAGACUAACCUUCACCCCUUCCCAAAUCCUCUACCACUUAUAAAACAGAAAAGGGAGGAAUAUAGUAAUUUAUCCUCCAUUUGCCCCAUGGUCCCAAGCACAUAAGCCGGUGAGAAUUAUGCCUGGGCUUGCCUGGGCUUGCCUGGGCUUACCCCGCCUUAUCUCUAAACAUCCCCACCCUCCCCUAAAGCAGCAGGCUGAGUGGAUCCACAAUAAAAGGCACCACGCUGCUGCCCGCUCACUCUCUCUCUCUUUGUGUCUGUCUCUCUGUCCCCCUGCUCUCUCUCCCUCUCUGCUCUCUGUUCUCUCUGUCCCGCUGCUCUCUCUGCUUCUCCCUCCCUCUCUCUCUCUCUCUCUCCCCACCCCCGUCUGGGGCAGCCACUUUCUCUUUUAGAUAAUAAAAUCUCUUGCGUGGG